UGGGGAAUUUUGGACAAUGGGCGAAAGCCUGAUCCAGCAAUGCCGCGUGUGUGAAGAAGGCCUUCGGGUUGUAAAGCACUUUUGUCCGGAAAGAAAUCCUUGGCUCUAAUACAGUCGGGGGAUGACGGUACCGGAAGAAUAAGCACCGGCUAACUACGUGCCAGCAGCCGCGGUAAUACGUAGGGUGCAAGCGUUAAUCGGAAUUACUGGGCGUAAAGCGUGCGCAGGCGGUUUGCUAAGACCGAUGUGAAAUCCCCGGGCUCAACCUGGGAACUGCAUUGGUGACUGGCAGGCUAGAGUAUGGCAGAGGGGGGUAGAAUUCCACGUGUAGCAGUGGAAUGCGUAGAGAUGUGGAGGAAUACCGAUGGCGAAGGCAGCCCCCUGGGCCAAUACUGACGCUCAUGCACGAAAGCGUGGGGAGCAAACAGGAUUAGAUACCCUGGUAGUCCACGCCCUAAACGAUGUCAACUAGUUGUUGGGGAUUCAUUUCCUUAGUAACGUAGCUAACGCGUGAAGUUGACCGCCUGGGGAGUACGGUCGCAAGAUUAAAACUUAAAUGAAUUGACGGGGUCAUAGCUGUUUCCU
rnacentral:rRNA from 1 species